rnacentral:rRNA from 1 species
GUUUAACGGCCGCGGUAUUUUGACCGUGCGAAGGUAGCGUAAUCACUUGUCUUUUAAAUGGAGACCUGUAUGAAUGGCAUAACGAGGGCUAAGCUGUCUCCUUUUUCCAGUCAAUGAAAUUAAUCUUCCCGUGCAGAAGCGGGAAUAAGCCCAUAAGACGAGAAGACCCUAUGGAGCUUUAGACAAAGUAGCCCGCAUUGAAACCACUCAAUCAAGAGUGAACCAAGCAGCCCUACCCCUUUGUCUUUGGUUGGGGCGACCAUGGAGAAACAAAAAUCCUCCAAGUGGAAGGCACCCCUCAAAGCAGAGCAACAGCUCCCACAAACAGAACAUCUGACCGACAGACCCGGCAAAGCCGAUCAACGAACCGAGUUACCCUAGGGAUAACAGCGCAAUCCCCUUUUAGAGCCCAUAUCGACAAGGGGGUUUACGACCUCGAUGUUGGAUCAGGACAUCCUAAUGGUGCAGCCGCUAUUAAGGG